rnacentral:rRNA from 1 species
AAAAAGCCGGUCUGCUUUUAAUAAAAGUGGUAUCUUGGUGUGUUUUUAGCAAUAAUGUCUUUCGAAAUGUUUUAUUACUUUAUUGUAUUAGACCAUAUUGAAGAUUUUUACUUUGAGAAAAUUAGAGUGUUUCUAGCAGGCUAACGCUUUGAAUACUGCAGCAUGGAAUAAUAAAAUAGGAUUUUAGUUCUAUAUUAUUGGUUUUAAGAGCUAAAUUAAUGAUGAAUAGGGACAGUUGGGGGCAUUUGUAUUUAACUGUCAGAGGUGAAAUUCUUAGAUUUGUUAAAGACAAACUACUGCGAAAGCAUUUGCCAAAGAUGUUUUCAUUAAUCAAGAACGAAAGUUAGGGGAUCGAAGACGAUCAGAUACCGUCGUAGUCUUAACUAUAAACUAUGCCGACUAGAGAUUGGAGGUCGUCAG